GGGACUACAGGACCUGGGGGGUAUUCCAGAAAGCUUGGUUAACUUACCAUUUGAUAAACUAUAACCUCUGGGUUGAUUUACCCCAAACAGGCAUACCAUGAGUAUGUCGGUUCCAAAACACCUGAGAAGAGUUAGCUUAAUCAACCUCUGACUGGUUACCCAGAGUUAAUGCGCGUGCACGGUGCAUGUAUAAAGACAUUUUCAAUGGAUCGCCGAUUUCACGAGUCACCAUGGAAACUCAAAGCGAAAAAAAGAGAGCCGCGUAUUUCACAGAGGCGGAGUUGGAAGUUUUAAUGCAUGCUUAUGAGGAGUUUAAGCCAAUAAUAUUAAAAAGAAGCAAUACAGCUGCAUCGGCUAAAGCAAGAGAGUUGGCUUGGCAAAAAAUAACGGACAGAGUAAAUGCGUGAGUGUAUUAAAUUACAAAUUUGGUAUUGGCUCCCGUUUUAUUGAAAUGCAAAAUAAUGAAGUAUGACUUAUACAUACUUUUGAAUAUGUUAAAUCACUAUGAAAGCAUUUACUUUUCCUGCCAUUUUAUUUCUUUAGCUUGAAAUAAUAAUGUAUAUUUCUUAUUUAAUAAGGUGUAAUCCUUCUGGAGCCACAAGAACUUUAAGCCAAGUCAAAAUGAAACACAAAAACAUUCUGCAAAAAGCUAACAGAAAAAAGACUGAAGCCCGUCUAACUGGCGGGGGGCCACCACCACCUCCCCUCACCCCAUCUGAGGAGCUGGCUCUGUCCCUUAAUAAAGGGCGACCAGUGGUUGCUGGCAUUCCAGGGGGCAGUUCAUCACACAUACUAUGCACCACAAGUGAUGGUGAAAAAAGGGUGAAAUGAUGAAGAUGAUGAUGACGAUGAAGAGACCACAUCUGCUGUGACAGAAGUGGACAAUGCUGGUAGAUCCACUGAGUACAUACCUAGGGAUUUGCCCACAGAUGAGGGUCCUUCAGCCUCAGCACACAAUCUAAGCAGGGUAAGAAUUUGUGUCCAUGUGUCCAUAUUUUAAUUUUAUUGUCUGACCAAACAAUCUCAUUUAUUACAUUUUUCCAAAAGGAGCUGUAUAAGGUCCAUCUUCAAAAACAAAUAAGAAAAAGUGACAUGGAGAUGGACCUUAUACAGCUUCAAAUGGAAGAGAAAAGGCUCCUCAUUAAAAAAGCAGCACUUGAAAUAGAAUUACUUGAGAAUCGCCUUAAGGAAAUGAAGAAAUAAACUGCCUGGCAGACCAGUGCAAAAAAAACUAAUAAAAGUAAUUUUGACAAAUCCUGUCUCUCAAAAGUCUUCCGUCUCUGUUGGCCUCUAAAAUCUGUCGGUGUUCCUCUGG